CCACACAUCCUCCAGCUACCAGAGCCCCCAGGAUUGGCUAGGGAAUUCCCCCCCCCGGGGAGGGCGUGGCCUCCAGGAAGCCCCGCCCAGCCUGUGCCUCCAGCCCACCCACCGACUCACCGUUGUUGUAGGACUGGAGGAACAUCUGGAGGAGGCUGAAGCUGCCCCCGGUGAAGUCCAGUAGCACGUUGCCAAUGCUCCAGCCUUCGGUGCUUUUGUAGUGAAAGUUCAUGUAGGCCUGGGCCAGACACACAGACAGACAGACAGGAGGCGGUGAGGGGGCUGGGUGGUGGCCUCCAGCCCCUUGUGACCGCCGCUCCAAACAAGAGUGGCUCUCAUUCCUCCUCCUCAUGUGCCUGGACCUCGACGCUGAGAAACACAAAGACCUUUGGGCUCUGACAAGCCUUGGCUGAGGGCGCGGUGUGGGCGGGUCCUGGGGGGUCUCAUCUGGGUGCUCGGCAACCAGAGCCCCCCUCCCCCCAGCCCUGCACCUCCCAACUCCGGCAGAGGGAGGGGGAGAUGCUGCCUCUCAGGCUUCUCCCUCCCCAUCCUGGCUUUCCAGUUACUCUCAAUUUCUCGCUUUCAAAUGGAGAUUCUUCCCAAACUCAGCCGGGACUUCGUGCUGCGCUUACAAACACGGUGCCGGGGAGUCUGACUGCCUGGUUUGGAAUCAUAAUUCCACCAUCACAGCUACCUUACCCUGGGAGAGUUAUGUGCGUUCUCCCGGCAUCAGGCUCCCCAUCUUAACGCCCUCCUUAGCCCUGAUUGGGCUCUGGAGCCUCUGCCUCGGGCUCCCCAGGUCCAUCCACUUGGACAUCACCCCUCUUCCUGCUGCCAAUGCCCCACAUCCCUUCUCCAAUGCCAGGACCCUCCGGGCUUCUCUGACUGGUGUGACCUCCCCUCCCACCACCUGGAGGGGUGGCUUGGUCUUCACAGUGGCCUUCUCCUAGGGAGACACCUGUCGGGUCCCCUUCUCUGUCCUCUCCCACCCUCUUCUGUACCUGCAGCCACCUCUCCAGUCCUGGAUGAUUCCAAACACCUCUAACUGGGGCUCCUGCCUCCCAGGCUUCCCAGGCCCAAGCCUUCUGACACUCAGGUCCCACUUUGCCCAAGACCUUCCCCUGCUCUGAAGCCUCUUUCCCAAGCGCCCUGGGACCUGGCCCCACGUUCCUGGCUUCCAUACCGCUCUGCCAGCAAGGUCUCCUCACUGCCCCCAGUUUCUCCGAGCCUGCAGCGCUGCCUCCUCUCUUGUCCACAGGACAGAGUCCUGCGCCUCCUUACGGGUAUGGCUCUGUUUCCAUGUCCUCCAGGGGGCUGGCCCUGGGUCUGCCCAAAGUACCAUCCUUCAUGAGCCCAUGGAGUACAAGGUUCCUGCGCCCGGCAAGCUGAAAAGGGGCUUCCGCACUGGGAAUGGGAAGCUGCCCCACAGGAGCUGGGUCCAGGGUUGGCAUCUCAUCCCUCUCAUGCUAACGGCUGCGGGAAAAGGCAGGUGGCCCCUGGAGGUACCUGCGGGAAAUACUUGAUCAGCGUCACCGCCAGCUUGAUGUAAGAGAAGCAGAAGAGAAACUGCAGCCAUGUGAUGGACCCGACUGCGGCCACGAUCAAGGCGGCGAGGGUGAAGAGCCAGGAGAGCACCAGGAAGCUGAUGGCGGGCCAGGACACGCGCUGGUUGCCUCGCUGAAGACGAGACAGGGCGAAGGGGGGGAGGUGGGUGGGGUGGGGAUGGAGCACAGAGAGUCCGGCACCAACCACAUCUUGUCACUAUCGGGGUCUCCGGUUCCGUCCUUCGUGGACUGGCAGAGCCCAUUUGCUGCUUAUUCCCAUGCUGCAGAACUGGGUCCCUCUCAGAGCCCCCCAGGAGCAACGGGUGCUGGGGACAUAGCCCUGAUCUUGCUGGAGGCUUGGCACCUCAUCCUGACCCAGGCUCCUUCCAGGACCCGAGGGAGCCUGAUUGUCUCUGGAGUCUGCCCCUUCCCUACUUUUCCCCAAAGCAGGCCUCCCUCAUCUAACCUUCUUAGCAAAGGGUAAGAAACCUAGAAAGUGGCCGCCAUGCUUGUGGGAAGGGAGCUCCCCAAGGGAAGUGGUGCAUCCACAAGGAAGUGAAAGAAAAGCGGCAUCAGUGACGCCCUGAAACCGCAAGUAACCAACGCGGCCCUUCCUCACUGAGACAGAGGACAGCCCUCCAGCAACGCAAGGCCUGGCUCCUCAACCCAGCCCUCCAGACCCCUCAGGACCUCUCCUGCUUCCCCCAUUGGCACCCCGGCCACAUCCACCACUUCCUCUUGCUGCUCCCUGGCCUUCACAGUUCUGUCCCCCAGCUGGGGUGCCCCGCCCUGGCCCUCUUCCCCAUCCCCGUGGGAAACUCACUCAUCCCAUGGACCACACCGCACUCAUCCCAGGGACCACAGCUCAGGACCAUUUCCUUGAUGCCCUCCUCCCCCUUCCUCCCUGGCUGGGCUGGGGUGGUUCUGCGCAGCUCUCGGCCUGCUGGGUUGUCAUCACUUCCCUGUCUGUCACCGCAGACCUGGGCAGCCUGAGGGCCUGGGCUCAUGGGGUGUUCCCGGGGCCCAGCCUAUUCUCCACACCCCAGGACGCAGGUGUGAGUCAACGCACACACUUCCCUUCUGGGGGUUUCUGUGUCUUCUCUACGAAGGCAGGGAUGGGGUCGGGGGUGGGGGCGCUGGCCCGGGCGGCCCGAGGAGAGGCAGGGGCCAGGGUCACUGCUCACCUCAUACAAGCAGCACUGCACCAGGACAACCAGGGUGAGGGCGACCGCGUGCAGGCUGAAGAAGACGUCGUUACUGACCACGGGGUUCACGCCAUUGGGGUAUUUGAGGAGAAACUGCUCCUGUUUGGGGGUGGGGAGAAGUUAGAGGGUGCGGGUGGCCAGGCCUCCGGACAGCCUGGGCCGGGCCGUGGGGGGCGGGAGCGCCGUACCUUGAUGUAGGGCACCCAGAGGAGGCCGAUGUUGAACACGCUGUAGGCCACGAAGCCCAUCAGGUUCAGGGCCACGAAGUCGAAGCUCAGACCAACGACACUGGGGCCCCGAGGUGUGUGUGGGGGGAACAGAAAGACGAAGCAGGGCAGGGGUGAGACUGGGGGCUGCAGGGGACAGAGCUCCCAGCACAUGAGAAGGAGGGCCUGGCUCCCCCAAGGAGGGCAGGGUCUUCGGGUCCCUCCCCCAGGCCAGCUCGGAGGCCACCCACUCCCACCCUCCUAAGAACCCCUGCCUCCCCCCAGAGACUUCUCCUGCCUCAAGUCCCAGCCCCACACUGAAGCCUGGAGGCCUCCUGCAGAGAAAAAGAGCACUGUGCCUCCCUCCGCCCCCCCCCUCCCCCGGCCGCCCCUAGUGGGGAGCUGGUGUCCUUGCUGCAAGAAGGUGCACGCCUGGGCCCUCUGUCCUUAAAAUCAACCUGGGUCUCCUGCAUGGGAGCACAACCUGACACUAAUUCCUCCAGGGCUGGGUGCACCAGGAGCACGGCAGAUUCCAGUGGACGCCCCUGCCCCGCAACCAGCCCCUUCUCCAUUUCACUGAGAAGCCCUCCAAGGGAGGGCUGACUUGGGCGAGGGACCAAAUGCCCUCCACUGCAAGUCCUCCACAGGCUCUUAGAACUUUCACAGUGGACCCCUUUCUAGAAAGGGCAGGAAGAGAGAAGAGCAGAGGGACAAGUCGGAGCCCACCCUGCCUACAGCCUUGCCGGAAGGCCCCCAUCCUACCAGCCCCCAGGGAACCUGCGCGGAGAGCUCCACGGGUUACCUUUUCCGCCUCCAGUUGGUGAUGACCUGAGGGUAGAAGGAGACGGACCAGGCCACAAAGUAGAUCCAGCCAAUCACCUGGUUUAUGAUGCUUAAGAUGUGGCUGUGGAUCACCGAGAAAAGUAUCCUUGGGCUGCAAAGAAAAUUGGGACCGAGGUAAGCCGAGGCUGGGCUUCUGAAGGAAACCCCACUGGCUCCCUUCUCAUGAUGCAGGGCGCACGUGGAUGGCGGCCAGUCUACCUGGUCUGGUUGGAAUGAUUUCCAUGCAGAUAAACAGUGACUUGUCCCACAUCUUGAGAGGUCACUUGAAAAGAGGAAUUUGUCACUCCGGGAGGCACUACAACCUGUUAGGAAAACUGAAUUAGAUCCAGCAUCGUGUGGUUACUGGGACCUGAGUGAGUGUCCAGCUCCACACGCACUAAGGAAUGGAGGGUCAGACCAUACACAGCCCCUGCCCUCCAGGAGCUUCCUAACAGACAGAGCAAUCGGCAAUCGGCCCAUUUGUGAUUGGAGCAAUCAGCCAAGCGGGGCCCCUGCACCUGUUAGACUUCCUGAGCAGAAGGUGGGGGGGGGGCUCUCCCUCUCACUAGCUCUGCAUUCCUGUGCCAAUUAUUUGAGCUCUGAUCUCAGGUUGCUCAUCUGUACGUGGGGAUCACACAGGCAUCCAGCUUACAGGGCUGCUCUGAAUGACACACGUCCAAAAAGCUUACAGCACCAAGCAAGCUGGGAGAAGCUUCCCAUCAUUGCUACCCUACGACGACCGCUAGAGCCUCUGCUUCUGUCACGAUGGGCGGCUCCUCCAGAUCCACAGAAGGAGGUCUGCCCCUCUCCCAGCCUGGUGGCGAAGCGACAGAACAGAAAAGGUGCGCACGCCAGCCCCCCAGCGGGGUGAACGUUCUCACUGGCAUUUCUGCCCAAGAGUCACUGAAAGCUCUGCUCCAAGAAAUGGCACUUGGAGGCCUGCCCGCAGCAUCUGACCUUCCAGUCACGCCUCCUGCUGCUCUCACAUCCCCGGAGUGUGGCAGGGAGCAGGAUGACACCUUCCCCGAACCACACUGUCCGCCCCGCCCCCAUCUCUUUGGUGCCUGGACGAUGCUCUGGGCCCUACCGGCCCCCCAUAGUGUGCGGAUGUGUCUCACAGGAUUACAGUGGCCCCUUCAUGCUCCUUUGAACACGGUCUUUUUGCUCUUAUCCCCAGCAAUCAGGGGGCUUUGGCAAGACAAUUGAAAUGGUGUAAGUGGCUGCUGUAAAGCCUGGGAUCCAAUUUGUGGCCGGGGUCUUGUGAGUUACAUGCUCCCGACACAUACUAACCACCUUGGCUCUUUUAUUCUCCCAUCCUCAUUUGUUCUUAUUUUUAGCAGAUUUUCCUGGCAAUGUUGUUUGCCUGUUUCCAAGGGGCCACCAAGGCCUUUCUGAAAUUGGGUAGGAGGAAAAUUGGUCAAAUGGCAUUGACUGAUACAAGGCAGAAUGAAAUCCUAACUGUGGUUAGCUUUUUUAAAGAAAUCAAUAAACUUAAUUCUUUAGAGUA